rnacentral:misc_RNA from 1 species
CAAAUCGCUACAAAUUGCACACGAAACAAACUAAUCAAGCAUGCCAAAAAUUCAGAAAAGUUUUGGGGGAAAAGUAAAAAGGAUUUGAGUGGAAGGGAAAAUAUAAGCAAUCGAUAGAAUUGCUUCUAUGGCAGAACUAAAACAAGGACAACGAAUCGGAAUAAACAAGAAAAGACGGUAAGGGCUUUACAGCCAAUAGAAGGAGCGGGAGGCACUUAAGAACAGAAAGGGAAAGAGCUUGGUGGCCGAGAAGCGAUAGCAACAUAGUCGGGCAUAGUCCUGGCCAGUGAAUCCUCUGGCUGUGGAAAACCGGUUAACAAGCUGGAAGAACUGGCAAGAACUCAGAUAUACCGAGGCCUAAUGGCGCCAACGACGAUUACUGAAAACAUAGACAUUAAAUGCAGAGGAAGUGACAUUAAUUGCAUUGAUUUAGCAGGGCCCUACAGCCUACAGCCAACCAACCGAUAAAAGUUGGCCUAUCCAUCUCCAUUAUAGAGUACUUGCCAAUAGGGCAACGAAUUUCCGGGACAAGAAAUUAUAAAACCGAAAUGGGAAACAUGAACAUUACGCACCCAUUGCGUAUGCACUUCCAAUUAUUUGAAAUUGUUGCUAAUGAGAAAUUAAUUUGCAAAAUGCUAAUCAAGCGGCGGCAGUUGCUAUCGCUGGUCUGGUUGCUGGUCAGCAUUCUCCAUUCUAAUUCCAACAAAUUGCCAUCGAAGCUGGCUGGCUGGGCAACGGAUCGAAGUGAUUUAAUUAAGACUGCCGGUCAGACAGUUGCACGAGUUUCCCAAUUUUGGCAUCGAUCCCGCUUGGACUCUAAU